rnacentral:ncRNA from 2 species
UGAUUUUUUUAAUAUUCAGGUGUCCUUGCGACGUAACAGGGAAUCCCGUGCAAACCGGGAACGGACCCGCCGCUGUAACCUCUCCCCCUUUUAGCUCAUGAGAAAGGGGAACCUUUUGACACUUUUCUGCCACGGGACGGGAAGGCCGUCAAGAGGAGAGGGAGUCAGAAUACCUGCCUGAAUAUCCUGAUCGUC